CCCAGGACCAGCUGGAUGAGGGGACUGAGGCUUCAGUGUGUUAGUAGAACAGGUUAGUGAACUCAGCCCCAGGACCAGCUGGAUGAGGGGACUGAGGCUUCAGUGUGUUAGUAGAACAGGUUAGUGAACUCAGCCCCAGGACCAGCUGGAUGAGGGGACUGAGGCUUCAGUGUGUUAGUAGAACAGGUUAGUGAACUCAGCCCCAGGACCAGCUGGAUGAGGGGACUGAGGCUUCAGUGUGUUAGUAGAACAGGUUAGUGAACUCAGCCCCAGGACCAGCUGGAUGAGGGGACUGAGGCUUCAGUGUGUUAGUAGAACAGGUUAGUGAACUCAGGACCAGCUGGAUGAGGGGACUGAGGCUUCAGUGUGUUAGUAGAACAGGCUAGUGAACUCAGGACCAGCUGGAUGAGGGGACUGAGGCUUCAGUGUGUUAGUAGAACAGGUUAGUGAACUCAGCCCCAGGACCAGCUGGAUGAGGGGACUGAGGCUUCAGUGUGUUAGUAGAACAGGUUUGUGAACUCAGCACCAGGACCAGCUGGAUGAGGGGACUGAGGCUUCAGUGUGUUAGUAGAACAGGUUAGUGAACUCAGCCCCAGGACCAGCUGGAUGAGGG